UAAUAAAUAUAUAUAUAUAUAUACCAUUGAACUUGAUGGGAUACGAAUUAUACGAAACUAAUUUCAACGAUUCAACCGUCAAACUUGUUUGUAUAUGCUUCGAGAUUGCAUCAUUAAAAAAUCGCAAAAAAUAAACAUUCAGAGAUCAAGUAACCGAACAAAACUUUUCAACGGUAAUAAAACGAAAAAUCACAACUUAACUGUUAUUUUAACUCCGAUUUUUAUGAUUUUUUACAGCUACACUCCUUGGCCCUAUAUGAAUACAAUGAAUGAAUUCGAUCUUCAAUUUAAAAUAUUUACACUAGUGGAUAUCUUAUGUUAUACUUAAUGAAAGUAUGAAUAAACUCUUUACUGUUAGUGAAUCUAUUGUUUUGAUAGGAUACGCAUUCUACGAAACUAGUUUCAACGAUCUAACUGUCAAACAUGUUUGUAAAUACUUCGAGAUCGCAUACGCCAAAAAUUGCAAAAAACAAACAUUUAGAGAUUAAGUAACCGAACAAAACUUUUCGACGGUUAUAAAACGAAAAAUCAAGAUUUAACGGUUAUUUUAACUUCGAUUUUGAUGAUUUUUUAUAGCUAUACUCCUUGACCCUAAAUGAAUACAAUGAAUGAAUUCGAUCUUCAAUUUAAAAUAUUUACACUAGUGAAUCUUAUGUUAUACUUAAUGAAAGUAUGAAUAAACUCUUAAAUGUUAGUGAAUCUAUUGUUUUUAUGGGAUAAGCAUUCUACAAAACUAGUUUCAACGAUCCAACCAUCAAACAUGUUUGUAUAUACUUCGAGAUCGCAUACACCAAAAAUUGCAAAAAACAAACAUUCAAAUAUCAAGUAACGGGACAAAACUUUUCGACGGUUAUAAAAAGAAAAAUCACAAUUUAACGAUUAUUUUAACUCUGAUUUUGACGAUUCUUUACAGCUACACUCAUUGACCCUAUAUGAAUACAAUGAAUGAAUUCUAUCUUCAAUUUAAAAUAUUUACACUAGUGGAUAUCUUAUGUUAUACUUAAUGAAAGUAUGAAUAAACUCUUAAGUGUUAGUGAAUCUAUUGUUUUGAUGGGAUAUGCAUUCUACGAAACUAGUUUCGACGAUCCAACCGUCAAACAUGUUUGUAAAUACUUCGAGAUCGCAUACGCCAAAAAUUGCAAAAAACAAACAUUCAGAGAUUAAGUAACCGAACAAAACUUUUCGACAGUUAUAAAACGGAAAAAUCACGAUUUAACGGUUAUUUUAACUCCGAUUUUGAUGAUUUUUUACAGCUGUACUCCUUGACCCUAAAUGAAUACAACGAAUGAAUUCGAUCUUCAAUUUAAAAUAUUUACACUAGUGAAUCUUAUGUUAUACUUAAUGAAAGUAUGAAUAAACUCUUAAAUGUUAGUGAAUCUAUUGUUUUUAUGGGAUACGCAUUCUACAAAACUAGUUUUAACGAUCCAACCGUCAAACAUGUUUGUAUAUACUUCGAGAUCACAUACGCCAAAAAUUGCAAAAAACAAACAUUCAAAUAUCAAGUAACGGGACAAAACCUUUCGACGGUUAUAAAAAGAAAAAUCACGAUUUAAUGGUUAUUUUAACUCCGAUUUUGACGAUUUUUUACAACUACACUCCUUGACCUUAUAUGAAUACAAUGAAUGAAUUCGAUCUUCAAUUUAAAAUAUUUAUAUUAUACUUAAUGAAAGUAUGAAUAAACUUUUAAGUGUUAGUGAAUUUAUUGUUUUGAUGGGAUACACAUUCUACGAAACUAGUUUCAACGAUCCAACCGUCAUACAUGUUUGUAUAUACUUCGAGAUUACAUACACCAAAAAUUCCAAAAAACAAACAUUAAGAGAUCAAGUAACGGAACAAAACUUUUCAAUGGUUAUAAAAAGAAAAAUCACAAUUUAACGGUUAUUUAAACUCCGAUUUUGAUGAUUUUUUACAGCUACACUCCUUGACCCUAUAUGAAUAUGAUGAAUGAAUUCGAUCUUCAAUUUGAGUGGAUACCACAAAAUCUUGUUAUACUUAAUGAAAGUAUAAAUAAACUCCUAAGUAUUAGUGAAUCUAUUGUUUUGAUGGGAUACACAUUCUACAGAACUAGUUUCAACGAUCCAACCGUUAAACAUGUUUGUAUAUACUUCGAGAUUGCAUACGCCAAAAAUUGCAAAAAACAAACAUAUAGAGAUCAAGUAACGGGAUAAAACCUUUCGACGGUUAUAAAAAGAAAAAUCACGAUUUAACGGUUAUUUUAACUUUGAUUUUGAUGAUUCUUUACAGCUACACUCCUUGACCCUAUAUGAAUACAAUGAAUGAAUUCGAUCUUCAAUUUAAAAUAUUUACACUAGUGGAUACCACAAAAUCUUAUGUUAUACUUAAUGAAAGUAAGAAUAAACUUUUAAGUGUUAGUGAAUCUAUUGUUUUGAUGGGAUACGCAUUCUAUGAAACAAGUUUCAAUGAUCCAACCGUCGAACAUGUUUGUAUAUACUUCGAGAUCGCAUACGCCAAAAAUUGCGAAAAACAAACUUCGGAGAUUAAGUAACCGAACAAAACUUUUCGACAGUUAUAAAACGAAAAAUCACGAUUUAACGGUUAUUUUAACUCCGAUUUUGAUGAUUUUUUACAACUACACUCCUUGACCCUAUAUGAAUACAAUGAAUGAAUUCGAUCUUCAAUUUAAAAAAUUACACUAGUGGAUACCACAAAAUCUUAUGAGUAUGAAUAAACUAUAAUAAUUAUAUACAUUAAUUUAACAAUUUUAUACCCCUAAAAACUAAAAUAAUUAUAUAUAUAUAUAUAUAUAUUAAAUUAUGUGUUUUAAUGUUUUGAAGUAAUAUUUAUGUGGCAAAGUGUGGUAUGUGCAAAUUUAAGAAAAAAAUAUAUUUUUCUUAACAGGUCAUAACGGGUCGGGUCACUUUACCCGUUGGGUAAAGUGACCCGACCUGUUAAGAUAACAGGUGUGAUACGACAAGACCCGUUAAGAUAACAGGUGUUACAUGAAAACAACACGAACACGACAGACACGACCCGUUUGCCAGGCUUAAACUCACUCAAGCGUUACUUUGUUUUUCUUCAUAUCCUUUUCCUUUGUAAAUUCAAAAAAUUAGAGUAUUGGUGUUGAAUUUUCAUUUGAUUCAACCCUAAAAAAUAUGUGAUGCUAACUUGUUACAAUGCACAACAUUAAUAUUUUUGACAAACUUUGUUAGAACUACCGUCUUUUAUUUGUUCUUAGACCUACUCCAAUCUUUGAAAUAAAAUUCAUAUUUUAGGUUUUAAACAUACCUCAACUUGCUUCAGUUUUUGCGCCAAAUAUGAAUUUUAACCCAAAACUCAAUUUUUGGACAAAUUUAGGCUAGACUUCCCCCUAGGUUAGUGGGCCACCAUGUAUAUGUAAUUAUUUUUUAGUUUAAUAUUUAGAGGAAUUUGUAUCAAUGGUCCCUCAACUUUAAUUCAAUUGGAAAAAAAAAAUAUAAACCAAGAGGCAAAUAUAGAAAACCAAAUGAAAAAAAAAAAAAAUUGUGGCAAUGGUCCAUCAACUUUAACCCAAUUAAAGAAAUAAGCUCUCCACUUUAACCCAAUUGGAGUAAUGGGCCCUCAAAUUUAACUCAAUCGUAGCAAUGGUCCCUCAAUUUUAACCCAAUUGUAGGAAUGGUCAUUCCAACAUAAGUCAGUUUCCAGAAUUCUAUUGGUGUUGACAAAAAAGACCAUUUGUCAUUCCAACAUAAGUCAGUUAAGGAACCAUUGCUCUAAUUGGGUUAAAGUUAAGGGACCAUUGCUACAUUUUUUUCUUAUAUUUAUAAAUUCAUUGAAUCAAACGGCUAAGAUCUAAUAUGAUCAAAUCCAACAGUAAAAUAAAAAUAAAAAUCUAACUAUCCAAGUUUAAAUCCAACGGCUAAAAUAAUUUUAAAAAAAAAUCUUUCAUGUGUUUAUUACUUUUUCAGUGUUCCACAAGUUUCAUGAUGUCGGUUUAGUGAUUUUUCAAAUAUUUAUCAGAAUCUAAAUAUUUUUAGGUUAAAAUGUUCAUAAAAUUAAAUUUGUUAUAUUCAUUGUAUUUAAAUGUGAUUGUGUAAAUUCUAGAUUAGAUUUGUUACUAGUUAAUUCUCCCUAUUGAUAGGAGCAUAUUUAUGCGACUUAGUUAGCUUGUUUUCUUGCAUUUUCAUGGUUUGUUUGUGUUUAUUAUAGUGUUUUAAGCUAUUUUCAUGUUUUUGUAGGUCCAUAUGACAAAGUUGGCAAGAAAGUGCAAUUUGGAGCAUUUUGAGGCAGUUUUGGGCACCAAAUGGAUAGCUUAUGAAUGGAGCAAGAUGGAUGGACGAAUUUGAAGUUCAAGGGGCUAGGAAUGAGUUGAAAAGAGUGAAGAAAUAAAUCCAAAUCAAGGAAGAUAAGAAAUCAGCUCAAAAGAAGGAACCAUAUCCAAAAUCUUAUCCAACCUUAUCUUAUCUUAUCCUUGCCUAACCUAACCUUAUCUUAUCCUAUCCAAAUGAAUUUGUGCCUUGAUUCCAGCUAUUUCUAAGGGAUAAUUAUGUAUUUAAACUAUAUAUUUCAGAUUCUAGAACCUUAUCCUUCUAGAACCCCUAAAUUGGUGCUAAAACAUCUUUUCUAGGAACACCUAAAAAUCUGGCCUUUUUCCCCUUGUUCUAGAAGCUCUAGAAUUUGAAUCUCAAUCCUUUUCCCUCUUGAUUUAGGCCAAAUGUAUCCCUCUUCUUGUAGGAAUUAGUGCCGCACCUUAUAAGCCUAAUCCCCUUUGGUUUUUGAUUGUUUUAACCCAUUCCACUUGGGUUUUGGUUUCACAAUCCUUAUCCCAUUUUAAUUUCAGAAACCUAUCCAAAUCCUUAGGGAUUUUGGCAUGAAUUCCAGCCUAUAAAUACCAACCCUUGCUGCACAAAUCAUUCACCACCCUCUACCAUAUUUUCACUACACCAUUCACCCAAACAUCCCUCUUGUGCCGUGAGUUUGCAAAGGAGAAGGAAGGAGACUUUUGGAGCCGUGCAUGACAUUCAAGGAGCUUGGAUUGUUGGAGCGUUUCUAGGUGUUUUCUAUCUUUAUGUCAAUGUUUAAAUUUAUUUAUCUUUGUUUAUUUGCGAACAUGAGGAACUAAUUUCUUUGUAGUUAGAGGGGAAUUCA
rnacentral:lncRNA from 1 species